AAACAUGUCUAUUUGGAGGUUUAAAAAGUCUAGCCUGCCCACUGAUAAUAAGAAUAGUUAAAGGGCCGCGGUAUUUUGACCGUGCAAAGGUAGCAUAAUCAUUAGUCUUUUAAUUGAAGGCUUGCAUGAAUGGUUGGACAAAGGAAAAUCUGUCUUUAUGAUAUUAUUUGAAUUUAACUUUUAAGUGAAAAGGCUUAAAUAGACCGGGGGGACGAUAAGACCCUAUAAAACUUUAUAUAGAAUUAAAUUUGGUUAAAUUUAAAUAUUAAAAAUCUGAGUUAAUAAUUAUAUUUUGUUGGGGCGACAUAGGUAUAAAUAAUUAUAGUAACUGUUUAAAUAUAAUACUAUAAAUUUAUGAGUUAUAAUUAUAAAUGAUCCUUAUUAAAGAUUAAAAGAUUAAGUUACUUUAGGGAUAACAGCGUAAUUUUUUUCGAGAGUUCAUAUCGAAAAAAAAGUUUGCGACCUCGAUGUUGAAUUAAAAUAUCUAUAUAAUGUAGCUGUUAUAAAAGAAGGUCUGUUCGACCUUUAAAUUUUUACGUGAUCU
rnacentral:rRNA from 1 species